rnacentral:lncRNA from 1 species
UUCUGACAAAAUAUAUAUAAGGAGCCAAAAUACAAGGAGUUUAAAAUAGAAGCAGAACAUUUCAUUAUAACUAGCCAUUACUUGAUUUUAUCUUCAUUGAUAGCUAGAUUCAUAACCUUUAUUCUAAUAUCCUCGAGCAUCUUGAUAAUUGGCAUAUGUCUAGCUUCAAGAAUCCAUGCAUUAAACAACUCACUAAAAUUAUUGUCGACCAUUAUGUUUUUAUGUUGAGUGUCAAAAUAUGCUCUACACCAAGAUUGUGAAGGAUAAUGCAGGAGAUCUUUGGCAGCAGAAGCAUCUUCAUCCUUACAUAGCUCUCCCAUCUUCUUUAGUUGAUCUUUGAAAUUUUUUCAUUAGUGCUCCAAGCACACCACCAAAACAAUUUCUUCAUAUGUCCACUUCUCCACUUUUUUUGCUAAUUUGCCUCAAUAUGUCAUACACAACUUUUUCAUAAAUGCUCCAAGAACACCACCACAACAAUUUCUUCAUAUGUCCACUUCUCCACUUCUUUUGCUAAUUUGCCUCAAUAUGUCGUACACAAUACCUAUGAUGAGAUUCAGGAAGUAUAUUCUGCAC